rnacentral:rRNA from 1 species
GACGAACGCUGGCGGCGUGCUUAACACAUGCAAGUCGAGCGGUAAGGCCCUUUCGGGGUACGACGAGCGGCGAACGGGUGAGUAACACGUGGGUGACCUGCCCUCAGCUCUGGGAUAAGCCUGGGAAACCGGGUCUAAUACCGGAUAUGACUCCAUGACGCAUGUUGUGGGGUGGAAAGCCUUGUGCGGCUGAGGAUGGGCCCGCGGCCUAUCAGCUUGUUGGUGAGGUAAUGGCUCACCAAGGCUUCGAUCUGUAGCUGGUCUGAGAGGACGGCCAGCCACACUGGCACUGACACACGGGCCAGACUCCUACGGGA